rnacentral:tRNA from 1 species
UCCAGUAUGGUGGUAGUGGCUAACAUCGCUAGCUCUUACAGAGCAGCCCUGGGUUCGAUUCCCAGUACCGGAG